UACAGAGGUCCCAAGCGUUGUUCGGAUUCACUGGGCGUAAAGGGUGCGUAGGCGGGUCUUUUAAGUCAGGGGUGAAAUCCUGGAGCUCAACUCCAGAACUGCCUUUGAUACUGAAGAUCUUGAGUUCGGGAGAGGUGAGUGGAACUGCGAGUGUAGAGGUGAAAUUCGUAGAUAUCGGGAGGAACACCAGUGGCGAAGGCGAAGUCUCUGGGAUGAUACUGACGCUGAUGCUCGGAAAGCUAGGGGAGCAAACGGG
rnacentral:rRNA from 1 species